rnacentral:sRNA from 2 species
ACUCAAAUCAUGAGUUCCUUUUAGUUUUAGCGCACGGCUCAAUCCCUUGAGCCAUUCCCCUUGCUCGGGACAACCUUGGAUUGGUCCCGAGCAUUUUUU